AGCUUGCUUGCUGCAGUCUCUAUAAUGUAUCAACACUCUACAAACACUGUUUGAAAGACAGCAUGCUUGCUUCAGUCUCUAUAAAUAAUUCAGAUGUAUCAACACUCUACAAACACUUUACAAACCCUCAACUACACUCAACUGAAAUUAAUAUAUCGACUCUUUGCAUCUGGAUCUUGCGUUGUUUCUCGGCUCUCACAUCAAGGUUUUAAAUUUUUUGUCGGCUUUUCACAUCUCCCUCUUGCAUUGUUGUAAGUUCUUUCAAAUUUCUUGGUUUUUUUGUAACUUUUAACUGUAGCUUUUAACUUUAGAAGGUUGUAAAUGUUGAAAUAACUGGGGUUUUUGGAUC